GACGAACGCUGGCGGCGUGCUUAACACAUGCAAGUCGAACGAAGUGGCGAACGGGUGAGUAACGCGUAAUCAACCUGCCCUUCAGAGGGGGACAACAGUUGGAAACGACUGCUAAUACCGCAUACUGAAGGACGGGAUUGCGUCUGAUUAGCUAGUGGGGGGGGUAACGGCCCACAAAGGCGAUGAGCGGUAGCCGGUCUGAGAGGCUGACCGGCCACAUUGGGACUGAGACACGGCCCCGACCCCUACGGGAGGAAGCAGUGGGGAAUCUUCCGCAAUGGACGAAAGUCUGACGGAGCAACGCCGCGUGUGUGAUGACGGCCUUCGGGUUGUAAAGCUCUUUUAAUGGGGACGCGGUACCGUAGUAGAAAGCCACGGCUAACUACGUGCCAGCAGCCGCGUUAAUU
rnacentral:rRNA from 1 species